rnacentral:rRNA from 1 species
UACGGGGGGGGGCAAGCGUUGUUCGGAAUUACUGGGCGUAAAGGGCUCGUAGGCGGCCAACUAAGUCAUACGUGAAAUCCCUCGGCUUAACCGGGGAACUGCGUCUGAUACUGGAUGGCUUGAGUUCGGGGAGAGGGAUGCGGAAUUCCAGGUGUAGCGGUGAAAUGCGUAGAUAUCUGGAGGAACACCGGUGGCGAAGGCGGCAUCCUGGACCGAUACUGACGCUGAGGAGCGAAAGCCAGGGGAGCAAACGGGG